rnacentral:lncRNA from 1 species
AAAAAAAAAAAAAAAAAGAUUAGUGACUGGUUGUACACUUUUAUAAUGCUAUAAUGCUUAUAGCAUUUAAUUUUGCUUUCUCUAAUAGGGUAAAAAAUAUUUCCGAGAUAGAAGAGGAGGAAAUAGAAAUUCAGAUUGGUCCUCAGAUACAAAUCGACAAGGGCAGCAGUGUAAGUAACUUUCGUUUUGUUUUUCUUGGUGUGUUUUUUUCCCCCGACUUACUAGUUGUUACUUAAAUCCGUCUGAUCACAAAGGUAGCAAAGAGAUUGUUAACCUAACAAUGAAAGUAUAUCUCAUAUAGGCUCUUUCCCUAUUUGAAUUGGCCACUCUAAUUAUUUAUUUGUUCUUAGUAAGCCCCCAGUAACAAUUUUAUUUGACAGGAACUAAUGCUGGCUCUGAUUUUAUUCCAUGUAGCAUCAUCUGACUGCUACAUAUAUGAUUCUGCUACUGGCUACUAUUAUGACCCCUUGGCAGGAACUUACUAUGACCCCAACACCCAGGUUAGUUUUGAUUUUUUUUGUUUGUUUGUUUUGUUUCUUUUUUUGUUUGUUUUGUUUUUUGCUUUAUUUGCUCUGUUAGUAGUCUUUUGAGAAAAGUACCCACAAUGUGUUACUUUUGAGUAUUUGAUUCUCUGCAUUCUCUGGAUGCUCAUUGCUUGAAAAGUGGAAAGUUUAUGGAAUCUGAGCUGUUGAUUAUAUGGAAAAUCAGUGCCCUGUGGCAUUACAGGUAAGAACAGCACUGUUCUGAGAGCUUCAGUGGUGGUAUCCAUGUAUACUCGCCCCUGAAAUGGUAUCUUAGAUUGAUAAGGGUUCUUCAGCUUGUAAAUGAGACAUUCUGGUGCCUUGAAGGGAAGUAUGUUCCUUAAGCCUAAAAUUCUGGAGAAACAGCAUUCUGUAGAUCUAUUUCUUUCAUAUUGUAUCACAGCAAGAAGUCUAUGUGCCCCAGGACCCUGAGUCACCUGAGGAAGAAGAGAUCAAGGAAAAGAAAUCUACCAGUCAAGGAAAGUCAAAUAGCAAGAAGGAAACAUCUAAAAGAGAUGGCAAGGAGAAAAAAGACAGAGGAGUGACAAAGGUGAGAUCGCUUGUGAGUUGCGGUCUUUAUCACAUAGUGACAUAGAAAACAUGGCAACUGUAAAGAGAGAGGGUCUAGGUUUAAGGUGCAGAGUCACUGUAAACAUUCUCUAGGACGAGCAAGAGCUAGAGCUCAGCAGUUCAGAAAUCUUGUUCUCGUAGAGGUCCCAGGUGUGAUAC